CCUACGGGAGGCAGCAGUAGGGAAUAUUGCUCAAUGGGGGAAACCCUGAAGCAGCAACGCCGCGUGGAGGAUGAAGGUUUUAGGAUUGUAAACUCCUUUUUUUAGAGAAGAUAAUGACGGUAUCUAACGAAUAAGCACCGGCUAACUCCAUGCCAGCAGCCGCGGUAAUACGGAGGGUGCAAGCGUUACUCGGAAUCACUGGGCGUAAAGAGCGCGUAGGCGGGAUAGCAAGUCAGAUGUGAAAUCCUAGGGCUUAACCAUAGAACUGCAGUUGAAACUGUUGUUCUAGAGUAUGGGAGAGGUACGUGGAAUGCGUGGUGUAGGGGUAAAAUCCGUAGAGAUCAAGAGGAAUACUCAUUGCGAAGGCGACCUGCUAGAACAUAACUGACGCUGAUGCGCGAAAGCGUGGGGAUCAAACAGGAUUAGAUACCCUUGUAGUC
rnacentral:rRNA from 1 species